rnacentral:tRNA from 1 species
UCCCUUAUAGCUCAGUCAGUAAAGAAUCUGCCUGCAGUGCAGGAGAUCCAGGUUCGAUCCCUGGGUUGGGAA